rnacentral:rRNA from 1 species
AUGUUGAUGAUGGCCGGCCGCGGACCGCAGCCGGCGCGGCUUGCUUAUAGUGGGGGCGCGCGAGCGCACCCAUUGGGUGUAGCCUCCGAGCCUCCGAGCCUCCGGGCAACUUGGAAAAGUUGCGCGGAGGGUCUUCCCAUUGUUGAAGAAGCCGACAAUGAAGUCGAGGGUGCCGGGCGCGGACGCGGAGUCCGCCGGCUGGAGGGCGCGGGGCCCUGCCGGAAGCGGAUGCGGAGUUCGCCGGCUGAGUGGGGGCGUGCGAGCGCACCCACUGGGUGUAGCCUCCAAGCCUCCGGCAACUUGGAAAAGUUGGGCGGAGGGUCUUCGCUGUUGUUGAUGAUGCCGACGGUGACGUCGAGGGUGCCAGGCGCGGACGCGGAGUCCGCCGGCUAG